rnacentral:rRNA from 1 species
CAGCCGCCGCGGUAAUACGUAGGGUGCAAGCGUUAAUCGGAAUUACUGGGCGUAAAGCGUGCGCAGGCGGUUUGUUAAGACAGAUGUGAAAUCCCCGGGCUCAACCUGGGAACUGCAUUUGUGACUGGCAAGCUAGAGUAUGGCAGAGGGGGGUGGAAUUCCGCGUGUAGCAGUGAAAUGCGUAGAUAUGCGGAGGAACACCGAUGGCGAAGGCAAUCCCCUGGGCCUGCACUGACGCUCAUGCACGAAAGCGUGGGGAGCAAACAGGAUUAGAGACCCGAGUAGUCCCUGUCUCUUAUAC